AAGCCUUGAUGAGAGCAUUUGGUCUAAUAGCCUUUGAAGUGUUCCCAAGCUUCACAGAAGGUUUCAGUAUGCUUCUGUGUGAAUCCGGUUAUCUCACUCCGUAGUCG